AAGAUCCAUGAUUUCAUGAAAUAACAGCUCUCGCUGAGGCCUUUUGAUCAAUUAAUUCUACACACGCACACACACACACACAUAUAUAUAUAUAGGGGGCCUUUUGAUCAAUUAAUUCUACACACGCAUCGCUGAGGCCUUUUGAUCAAUUAAUUCUACACACGCACACACACACACACAUAUAUAUAUAUAGGGGGAUUGCUGUUGUCGAAUAAGAAGGCAACAAGCUCUGAUACGGUGACGACAAAUUCUGCAUGCACAAAGGUUUCUUGCUCACUUUGUCGGGAAAAUGGAAGCUAAAUUUCCUCCGAAGCGCACACAAAGAUUCAGAGGAAAUGCGGUGCCGCCAAGCCGGUGUCAGCGAAGUUUAUACAAGCAACAUUGGAAUGAGCUACUAAUUAAUUUGCACCGAAUUGAGAGCUUGGAGAGAUGAAACUGACGUUCAUUGAAAAAAUGAAACUGAUGAGGCCAUAUUUAUUACUUCAGCUGAAUUUCAAGGUUGCCUUUUUGUACAUGAAAUGAGACUAUGAGCGAGAGAAGCAGUCGAUUGUCGGAUAUUUCAUUAAGGCUAUACCGACCGACUAAUACAACUGUCCUACACUAAUAUUGCCAAUUAAUUACGCUUGAUAAUAUCUUCUAAUGCCUUCAUUUUUGGUACGCAAUAAGUGCAAACCAGCAAUGAUUUUUGCAAUUAAUGGAGAUUAUGAAAUAACACCAACUGGUUGUAUAAAAUUGUCUUGAUUUCUGGCCAUUAGAUUUUAUUUAUUAACGACUUUAGUAAACAGGAUACGUUUUAAUAAAAGAGUAAUUUUCCGUACGGCGAGCCACCGCGUUCAAGUAGCAACACGGAGGCGUUUUGCGAGAGCGAGGCAGCUAACGGGCAGCCGGCGGUGCCACCUCCGAUGACGAUGUAGUCGUAGUAGGACACUGGUUUUGCUGCAGUUGCGUUGCGCAUGAAACUGUAGUUCGGAGCUGCUGUGUACACAAAAAGUGACGUAUAUAAUAUGGGGAUCAUAUAUUACGUUUUCCAAACAUGCAUGUGACAAAGUCAUGUGUGCACAUAUAUUAUUAGGAUCAAAUUAACCGUAAAAUUGCCAAUUAAAUAAAUUUAUUACCUUUUUGACAGGCACAAAAGUCAUGAAAGAAGAGAAAUGUAGCAAGAGUAGCAACAAAUGACAAUCUCAAGCACCCAAGAUCCAUGAUUUCAUGAAAUAACAGCUCUCGCUGAGGCCUUUUGAUCAAUUAAUUCUACACACGCACACACACACACACAUAUAUAUAUAUAGGGGGAUUGCUGUUGUCGAAUAAGAAGGCAACAAGCUCUGAUACGGUGACGACAAAUUCUGCAUGCACAAAGGUUUCUUGCUCACUUUGUCGGGAAAAUGGAAGCUAAAUUUCCUCCGAAGCGCACACAAAGAUUCAGAGGAAAUGCGGUGCCGCCAAGCCGGUGUCAGCGAAGUUUAUACAAGCAACAUUGGAAUGAGCUACUAAUUAAUUUGCACCGAAUUGAGAGCUUGGAGAGAUGAAACUGACGUUCAUUGAAAAAAUGAAACUGAUGAGGCCAUAUUUAUUACUUCAGCUGAAUUUCAAGGUUGCCUUUUUGUACAUGAAAUGAGACUAUGAGCGAGAGAAGCAGUCGAUUGUCGGAUAUUUCAUUAAGGCUAUACCGACCGACUAAUACAACUGUCCUACACUAAUAUUGCCAAUUAAUUACGCUUGAUAAUAUCUUCUAAUGCCUUCAUUUUUGGUACGCAAUAAGUGCAAACCAGCAAUGAUUUUUGCAAUUAAUGGAGAUUAUGAAAUAACACCAACUGGUUGUAUAAAAUUGUCUUGAUUUCUGGCCAUUAGAUUUUAUUUAUUAACGACUUUAGUAAACAGGAUACGUUUUAAUAAAAGAGUAAUUAUAUAGCCACAAACUCUUGUACAAACUUAUUUUGUACAAAUUUAUGUGGCAUGAUAAGAUUGGUUGAAUUAAAUAUCACUUGACCCACAUGAUUUGUUUUCAUUAUUUUAUAUUUUCAUUCAACCAAUGAAUUAGUGCCACAUCAGUUUGUACAAAAUAAGUUUGUACAAUAAUUUGUGGCUGUAUCAUUACUCUUAAUAAAAACUCUCUCUUCAACACUAUGAAGUAAUCCGAGUGUUUUAAGCUUAAAUACAUAAAUUGUGCCACUACAAAAUUGAUUUAGAAAGUUUUAAUAAAUAUUUUUAGUGUAAAUAUUUGUAUGUAUGUGUCUGCGAUAAAAUAUUAAAAAAACACCUAUAAAUGAAGGCUUUGACAUUACAAAGUUAAUUAAGUUCUUAUAUAUAUAUAUAUAUAUAAUGAAUUAUGAUGGUAAAUAUCAGCAUAUUUUUAAUGAAAAUAAAAAAUAGGGGGAAAAUAAAAUUUAAAAAAAAAAUGAUAUGGGGAAGAAGGUAUUAAUGGAAUCCAACAAGUCGUGCACAAGUAGAUAAGUUUGUGUUAAUGCAUGGAGUGUGGGGACCGCAGUUUCAGUAUCAGUUAGAUGGAAUUUAAAUAAAUGAAAUUUCCGGAGAUUUCAAGAAAAUGCAUUGAUUACCAGCGACCAAUAUUUGUGGCUAACUAACAGUGUCAAAAGAGUAUCUCCUCCACAGGCCACAGCCUGUGGCUAACUAACAGUGUCAAAGGAUUAGUGAAUUAAUUUCACUAAUUCAUUUUUUUUUCCUUCAGAUAUAUACUACUAAUCCUUUCAAUAAUACACUUUUUUUUUUUGUCUUAUCCACGAGAUAUAUUGGGGAGGGCCCCAAUUGUGAGAAGCACCUUUAAGCCCGUACCACAACUCAUAUUAGAAGUCCCCGCUCAGUCCCCGCUCGAAUCGGGAGGCACAGACCACAACUCAUAUUAGAAGUCCCCGCUCGAAUCGGGAGGCACAGAUUCUCCCAACAAAUGCGACUUUCCUGCGACUCGAAUUGGGGAGCAAUCCCAGUCAAACCACUUAAGAAGACUCAAUUACCAGUGGAGCCAAUACUUUCUUGGUUCAAUAAUACACAUUUAGAACUAAAUAUUCUCGUACGAUAUCUUGAACAUGCACCGGGACCUGCCCCGUGUUAUUUUUGUGUGUCUAGAUCUAGGCAUGCAGCUGGUCUAACACAAAUAAAAGUUUCAUAUAACCAAAAAAAUGGGUCAAUAAAUGUGACAGCCUUUUUAGGCAUGAAGAGAAGCGUUUGAUUUGUGUCAUCGCAUCCUCAACCAGAAAUGGCUGCAGGAGGAGUGACAAUUAUUAUUGCUAUUUUAGGAUUACAUCCCUUAUUUCUAUCGUCUUUUGCGGCGAGUUAAUUAAAGUUCACUACUACUUUUUGCGUGCCCAUUCUGAAAUGACUCCUCUCUCGCACGGCAUAUAAUUAUUAUUGACUCGUUCACCUUUGCGGAUGAGAUGGGUCUUUAAAUGAGAUCUCUCCAUAAAAUACAUGCAGCCAUCCUCGUUUGUAGCCAGGGUAUUCAGUUUUUCUUUGCUCCUGUCGUUAUCGUAGUUAUGAUUGGUUGAUUUAAAAGUAGGAGGAGUGCGUGUUAAACUUUUACUCGAAGGGCGAGCCAAAAUUAAAAAAAUCCAAGGAGCCAAAAAUCAUAGAUACGUCAGUCAUAUGAUGUGGUAUCCGUACCGAGAUCUUGCGUAUGUGAAAAGUGAAAUACUUCGCCGAAGGAAGACACCUCCAUUUCUUAGAACUUUUUAAAAAUACGUACCUACACUACAUAAAUUUGGAUCAAUUGCAGAAAGCAAAUGAUUGAUCGGGACCUUUCUAUGGUACAGGUUCUGUAACAAACAUCUCCCGUCAUCCCACCAUCCGAUUUUCUAUUGUUUAGUUUCUCACUCCACAUCCAACGGCUGAUGAUGCAGUCUGUAGCUUACAGAUUCUGUAAGCUAGUCAAGUCCGAUUAAUCGGGGAAGUAGUUCCCAGUGAGACGUUUUACGUGCCAUCAUUUGCAUCAGACGCACUGCCAUCAGUCAUCAAGUAUUUAAUUCAUCUUCUUUUCUUUUCUUUUCUUUUUUUUUAAAUCUCGAAAUUACAUCAUUUUAAAUACUAAAUUUACCGCGUUAUCCUUAACUUCAAGUUUUUUUUCAUUUACACUUUACUCGGUCAUCAGUUCACUUUCACCAUAAUUUGUUUUUAAACAUAUUUCGGCCUUAUUUUUUCAGUUCAAAACAUCUACCGUUUGGAUUAUACUUUUUUUCUCUCCUCAGAUUUCCCUUUUCUCUGCGCCUUCUUUGCAUUUUACGAGCAAAUUCGAAAUUAAAUCUAACAAAAACUAAACUAAAUUAAUAAAUAGUAAAAACUGAAUGCAUCAAGUUUUUUUUUUUUUAAUUAUUUUAAGGAUAAAUUUUUUUUUUCACACUCUCAACAUUUGUCUAUAAAUUUUUUAAUGGAGCAAAUCUAAAUUUUUAACAUAAAUAUUUAUUAAUUCAAUUUAGUCGAAAGAAAUCUUAAAAAAAAAUUGUGCCGAAAGUGAAUUGAUGGUUGGGUAAAAAAAAAAAAGCUUGAAGAUAAGGGUAAUGUGGUAAUUCUCUUCUUUAAAGUGAUGUAAUUAUUAAAAUUAAAAAAUAAGGAGUGAAAUCUACACAACAAUCCAAUUAAGAAGAUACAUCUCCUUCAUUGUAAGAGCUGACUGUCGCUAGCACGCAUGUAAAAUUAUCAAGUAAAGAUUUUACCACGAAAAAGCACUCGUUGACCUAGAAGUAUCUUCAACCCUAUCCCUCUGCCUUUAUUGUGUCGCAGUAUUUACAUUUUAUCCAAGAUUUAGAAACACCACUGAAAGAAACUUUUUAAAUAAAAUUUUACUUAUUAUUUAAAAAGUCAUAUAAAUAAAAAAAUAUUUCAAAAGAUUUUAUAAAUAAAAUUCUUCAUACAAGAUUAUCUUUCUUAGUCUUUUGGAGUUAUCAUAAAUUUUUUUUUUUUAUCUUCUCAUUGAAGAGAGAGGUGUUAUAAUUGUUAUUGUUUUACUAAAAAAAAUUGAUAAAAACAAUAUGAACUUAUUUUUAUUUAAAAAAUCUUUUAAGAGAUAAUUAAUUUUUCACUCUUCUAUUUACUAUAUAGGUAAGCAAAUAAAUAUUUAUAGAAAAGUCUCAUGGUAAAGCACUUACCCUUUGGAAAAUUCUUUACUUAUAAAAGGCAUCUGCCACAGUGGCGGAGCUACAAAGCCUAGACAAAAUCGUUUAUACCCUUAAUUGUUCAUCAAUUUAGUAAAAGAAAAGAGUUUUAAUUUUAUUUUCAUAUAUGUCCCUAAUUUAAUUAUACUUAUAUUUUCAUCAAUUUAGUAUAACAAUAGGAUUUUUAUUUUAUAUUCAAAUAUGUCCCUAACCCAAUUACCCUUAUGUUUUCAUCAAUUUUAUAUAACAAUAGAGUUUUUAUUUAUUUACAAAUAUGUCCCUUAUUCAAUUAUAUUAUUUUGGAAAAUUAUCAGCCAUAUAUCCUUAAAUGACACUAGUAUCAAACGUGCUACAACACUUUUCACUUAUAUCACUCGUAUACCUUAAAUUGACAAAAGAGUUCUAGCGUCCACAUUUCCAUUUACUACCGUUAAGAACUUAACAGAAUUUGAGUAAAAUGACUAUUUUACCCUUUAAACUCAAAAUGAGGUAAAAAAAUAAAUUUACCUUGAAAAUUAUUGUAAAUUUUCAAUACACAAUUUUUUUAUUUUGUUAUUAACAAUACAUUUUUUAUUAAAAAAAUAUGAAUUAUUAAUGGUACAUAUUAUUAACAAUUAUCCAUAAAAAAUAUUCAUCUUAUACCAUAAAAAAUUAUUAACAUUAUAUUAUUUACAAUUAUACAUAUUAUACCAUAAAAAAUUCAAGUUUGAGCUUGGAGAAGUAAAUCUUCAAUAAUUUAGGUUAAAUUUUGGAGUAGAUUCAGGGAGGAGUAGAUCUUCAAAAAUUUAGGUUAAAUUUUGGAGGAGUAGAUUCGAUUGUAAAGUAGCUUUUUUUAGCAAUUAUUAACAAUUAUCCGAUAAAUGGGAUGACAUGUCAUUUUUAUCAAAAUAUAUCAUAUGACAUGUCGUUUUUUUAAAAAGAUUAGAUUACCCUUAUGAUAUCAACGCUCGCAAACGGCAGUUAACGAAUUGAUGGACGGCAGAAGUGUUUUGUCAACUUAGGGUAUACGAGUGAUAGACUUGAAAAGUCUUGUAGCAUGUUUGAUACUGGUGUCAUUUAAGGGUAUAUGACUGAUAAUUUUCCUAUUAUUUUCAAUUGAAAUUAGUGACUUAUUUUAUAAAAUGAUUAAAUCAUAUAUUUAUUUAAUUGAUUGAAAACAUUAAGGAGCUAAAAUUUUAUUACUGCUUUAAUUUAUUUUAAAAAACUUUUAAUUGAAAAAAAAUGUCAAUGUAAUAUAACAUCGUCACUAGUAGUAAAAGUACUUACAGAAACAACAUAUAGUAACAAUUAUCAAUAUUUUUAUAAAUUUUUUAUGUGAAUUUUGAGAUUUUAUUUAUUAGUUAUAUUAACUAAAAGGACAAGUUAGAAAAUAAAAUUUGAGUAUUUUAAGAAACUUUUGAUAGAAGAAUUAUUAACAUCUAGUUCUUUAAAGAGAGAUAGAGCGCCUGAUAAAGAAACAACUGCACCAAAAUACAUUUUUGCUAAAUUGAGUUUAGUUUAUUAUUGAAACUUUUGACUAAUAAUACCUUUACAAUUUGAAAUGAUGAAUAAAUUUUAAUUGUUUAAUUUAUUAAGUUUGGUAAUUUAGGGUGUAUUUGGGAUUUAGGUGCUGUAGUUUAAAAGCUACGGUUUCUGUGGAAAAAAAAUUGUAACUAUAAAAAAAAUGUUAAUAAUAUAUAAUAAAUAUAAAUUUUAAAUAAUAAUUUUGACAAAAUUAUUAAAGAUAUAAUAGAUUUUUCAUCAUAUAAGUGAAAAAUCAUAUUAAUAUAGCUUACAAGUUACAGCAGCUAGUGUUUACCAAACACUUUAGUGUUGUACAUUUUAAGCUACAGCUGUCCAACCUCAAUCCCAAAUACACCCUUAGGCCAUCUCCAAUAUGACACCAAAACUGACAUCAAAAUAUUUUUUAUAUUAUUUUUGGUGUAAAAUGCUUCUCCAAUAUAACACCAAAACCAACAUCAAAAUGGUGUUAUGAAUAGUAUUGCACCAAAUAUGGUGCAACACUAUUCAUUUAGUGCUAGGAAAAAAAAGUUUCAAAAUAUCCUUAUUACUUUUUCAUAUUUACAUAUAUGUCCUAUUUUAUAUUCUGCUGUACGGCCAAGGCGGAUGUACGGUACAGCCUAUUUUAUAUAAUAUUUUAAGUUAUUAUUAUUAAUUUUGUUAUUUUUUAAUUUCAUUUUUUUAAUUUUUGAAUAUUAUACUAAUAUUUUAAAUAAAAAAAAUUCAACACAAAAAUUAAUAAUAAAAAUAAAAUGCCAAUAACAUUAAUUACUAGAUUACAUAUUACAAAAUUAAAAAUACAAAAUUAAAUUAACACAAAUUAAAAAGCUACUACUACUAGCAUAAAUUAAAACAAUUAUUUAAUAAUAUGGGAGAUCAUUAUUAGAUCCUCCAAUAUCAUCAAAAUAUUGGCCAAUAUUAUUGGAAGUAUUUUGAGAUGCUUGGCCUUGCUGAGAUCUUCUUUGCAAAAUCUUAAUUUGUUCAUUUUGAAAAUAAUGACGUAAGCUCGGAUCACUUAUCGAAUUUAAAUAUUUCAGUAAAAUUUUGUUUUCUUCACGAUAUGUGACCAUAUCCAAUUUGUUUUUCUCAUUUUUGGCUCCUAUCAUUUAAAUUUGAUAAUUUUGUUGCGUAUCUUCAUUGCCUUUUUUGAAAAUUUCAUAAAGUCGUCGAUUGUCUUCUUUAAUAGUAUUAAUAACUAGUGAAUUUUAAUAAUUUUCUAUAUUAAUGUAAUGUUUAAUUUUCAUAAUGUACUAAUUUAGUUAAUUAAAUACAAAUUUAAUAAUUUUCUAUAUUUUUUUUGUUAAUCGAUAUAAAAUUAUUAUUACUUAAUUAUCUAUAUUAAUAGUAAUAUUUAUUGUCUGAAUUGAAUUAAUUCUUGAGAAUUAAAAGAAUAAAAAGAAGAAUAUUCUUUUGGGUGUAAAUUGGUUGAAGAUGGAAUAAUAAUUUGGUGUGAAAAAUGUAUAUUUUUUGUGUUGGUGUUAUACCAAAAUGGUGUUAAGCAUUGGAUAUGCCCUUAGUACUUCACUUCAAACAUAAAAUUUUUACUUGUAAUUUUUAAUUGAUUGUAAUUACAUGUAUUGAUAUAUUUUAAUUUGAAAUUCUUAGUUGAUUUUUUAAUCCUUAUAUAAUUAUAUAUUAUUAUAGGCUGCAAUGUCAGAUUCUAUAAUUGAAAAAUAAUAUUUUCAUAUUCGAGUUGCUUUUUUUUUUCUCUUUUUUUAUAAUUACUUUUAUUUAUAGUCCAUAUUUAGAGAGUGUUUUCAAUAGAUUUUGGGGUAGGAAAAGCCAAACCUAUCUAGAACAAUGAAUUUAUAUUUUUUGGAGGAGACGGGGUACCUCACUGGUUUGUUAUGUGCGAUGCAGUGUAUCUGAAAUUCGGGGGAGGUGAGAAGGGGAGAGGGAGUGGUAAUAAUGGUGAAAGGUCAAAACCAAGAGAGAUGUCCUUCAAAAUGAGCUUCACGCCUGCAAAACAGUGAAAUGGAGGUUAGAGGUGAAGCCGGGGUACCCCAGCGUUCAUACUCCGACGCUCAAGUUAGCAAACUCAAGCUUUUAUGGCAAAGAGAGCUGGCUAGCCCUCUGUAAAUUAGGGUUUAAGGUUGAAGAAAACCUAUUUUUGGAGUGUGAGUGUUAAUGGUGAGUGAGAACAUCAUGGAGAAUGAAAUCUACGUACCUUUAUAUAUGGAGUACCUCAACUGCCACGUGGCGUACCCUUUUUGGCUAACGUCUUUUUACUUUUUUUAUGAUUUUUGGGCCGUUAUGUGCAUGUUCGCAGCGUAUCUCAUCCUUUGGAGACGUGGCAUGCGCUGGAGAGUGGUCUAGGGUACCUCUGCAGUAGCUGUCGGGUAAGCGGCUGAGGACCACUGUCCCAAGGACAUUGUCCUCCACUUUUGGCAGAGGUGGCAGGCGGCUGUCCCCCCCUUUUAGCACAACGUUUUUUAUUCUUAAUUAUGACAAAAUCGAAUAAUAUCUUUUAAAAGGUAGAGACGUUUCUCAUGGCGGACUUUUUCAAAGGGUUCACUUGCAUCUGAUUUGCCGAGUACCUCCAGUUACAUGGGGUAACUCAAUCUAUGUGGGGUACCUCUAAUUGUGCGGGGUAUCUCGUAUCACGUCGGGUACCUCUAUUUGUGUGGGAUACCUUGAAUCAUGCCGGGUACCUCAGAUUGUACAUGGUACCUCAAUCUGUGUGAGGUACCUCUAAUUAUACGGGAUACCUUGAAUCAUGUCGGGUACCUUGGAUUGUGCAGGAUACCUCGGAUUGUGCGGGGUACCUCAAUCUAUGUGGGAUACCUCUAAUUAUGCGGGGUACCUUAGAUUGUGCUGGAGUUAUUACGUUCGUCGACACGUGACGCUUUACUACCUCUCCUAUUUUUCUCCCAAACUGAGAGAUAAAAUUUUUAGUAUUCCUACUUAUUUAAUGUACUUAUUUUUCUAUAUAAAUUUUAUGUUCGCUUUAAAAUAUAAAUUUUAAAAUUUAAUCCAAUGUGAUAUUAAAGUUCUGGAUCAGCCAUCGACAAUUUCUUAAUAACAGAAGUGAAUACUUAGGAUUCAACUAUUAAGAGAGAGUGAAAAUUGACUUCACGGGAACACAGGUGAAUAGCAUGAGAAGCAUUCGGGAUUUGGGAAUACGCAAAUUUUGGGCCCUUAAUAGCGUAACCCUGAAAAUUUAUGAAACGAAUUGAAAAAAAAUCAAUAACCUUAUUUUUCAUCUACUGUACAAGUACAAUAAUACAACAGAAGAAUAUUAGCGAGGAUAAUUUAAAUAUGGGCGGGGAGAAGGAGGAGGAGGAGGAAUUAAGACUAAUAUAGCAUCUUGAUAGAUCAAUAAAGAGAGUUGUAGGUAACGAAAGUAGCGAUAAUGGAAGCUACACAGACGAAGAGUGAAGGGAGUAGAGUGACAUUCAAGAGAUUGCUCUGGCCCAAGAACCCAGCCAGGGUAAUUGUGCCAUCCGCAAUGACCCGAGCAAUUGUCCCAGCUUCUGUAGAAAGUAACCCGCCAUUGUACGUUCCACGAGAAAGCCUGGAAGACAUCACCCGAGAUAAUAGUGACAAGUUGACGCCUGCACCAAAAUACGUUACAAAAUAAUGAGACAUACUACAUUAGAAUCUAAUAUUUCAUAGGUAUUUUCUCAAUUGUCACUCAAUAUAUAAUCACCUUCAAGUACUUCAGCAAAAACAAACAAGACGAGUCCUGAGCAGACAUAUUGUGGAACGGAGUAGGGGAUGAACACAUGGAAGCUAAAGAGUAUGCCUAUACAGACCAUGAUUUCAGAAGCCAAUAAAAUUUGCCUGCAGCCAGAUCAAAGAGUGAAGACAUCAGUUGGUUACAAAAAGAAUUCCAGAGUUCACAUCAGAAAAGACAGAGAAUGACAAUGUGAUUCUGUUGGAGACUUACCUAUCUUCGAACAUGUUGCUAAUAUAGCUGCCAACAAUGAUGUUUACUGGAAGAACGGUAAGGCCAAGACACGCAAGAAAAAUUGCGACCGCGCCCGUGGACCAUCCAAAAUAGUAUGUAGUAACAACGCUAGAUUCAGAGAGUAAAAUCUCCAUCACGUACUUGAGCAUAAAAUAUAUCAACAAUUGAACCUGGUAAAAACAUCAGAAUUUAGGUGAGAGGUAAUUUGAAAAUAUAAGCGUUUCAGCUUGAAUCUGAAGGUAAAUCAUUUGCGAUGAGAAAAGCAAGCACAGAAUUGAUGUAUUGAACUGAAUUAAGCACAUGAUAGUAACUACAUAGAGCUUUGAUUGAUUAAUAACCACUAGUUCAAUGGUAAGUUCCACUUCGCCGUAAAAAUCUGAAUGAUCUCACAUUCUGAUCAAAGCAAGCAGUAUUUGGAUCAUCUCAAUCUACUUUCCCAAGCCAUUACAGAGAUGCUAAACAUAUCACUAUUAGUUGCACAAAAUCCUGAUUUACAUACAUGCCUAGAGAUGUUCUGAUAUAUGGUGCAACAGGUGCAUUCCAGGGAAAAUUAGUUAUCUUUUAGCUACAUAAGUUCUGGAUAGUCACAGUUCACCUGCUAUUCUGCAACUGCACACCAAGGAGAUCAAAGGUUCUGUAUGGUAAUAGUUUACCUAAUAACAUCUUGUUUUGUAAAUUUAAAAACACAAAAAAACAAAAGAAAUAGAAGAAAUAGAAGAAAAUGAAGAAGAGGAGACAUCCAGAUUCUGUUAAUUAUAUUUGAGGUCUUGUAUUAAUUAAAUAUCAACAUAGACCCACAUUUACAUAAAGUCAAAAGUACAAGGACUUGAAUGUGCGAGCCAUAAACGGACAUGGUGUGUUUACCUAUCAAAGUUAGAUACAUCAGAUCGAGAACUGAUGAUGCAAGGAUCCUAUUGUGACAUUGUAAGUGUUCACUGUUGCAUAUCAACUCAUAGUAACAAGCUAAUUUAAAAAUCUACGAUGCCAUUGCAAUGAAGAUCAUAAUGUUUGGGCAACCAAGUCAAUAAAAAAACAGUACAUAAAAUGGCAGGCAUGCUAAGCAAAGAUGUCUGGUUUACACCUAACGAGAAGUAAAAGUCAUGUUAAGCAAAUAUGUCCAGUUGACACAAGCUAACGAGAAGUAAAAAUCUUGUACCCACGUAGAUGUACGUACUUUCCAGGUCAACAAGACAAUCCAUGAAAAUCACUGACAGAAAUAUCUAUGUUUUUGAAAUGAAGAAAACGUUAGGAGUCAAUUUCUUACCUUUACAGAGGGCGUAAGUAGUCUGUAUGCUGAUCUAAUUGAAUUGGCUGGUGGAUGAGAUUCCUCAGAAGCUUCAUCACUUCCGUCAUAUUCUUGGUCACCAUCUUCAUCUUCUGGUUUUUCUUCUGAAGUUAUGAGCAAUGGUUGCUGAAGACCUUUUUCCAGGGCACUAUUAUCUACUGGUUCUGUCAUUUGUAUGGCCCAACACCAAAAUCAAACAUUUAUUCUUUUACAUAAAUGGAAUGGUUUCAAAUUAUAACAUAUAAAAAUUCCAUGCAUAAAAUUGAGAGAAAGGGUGUUUGGAUACAACUACUCAAGCAGUCAAAUAUGUACUCAGCAAAGCUCAACUUAAUGUCUGAAGUGUAACCAUUUUCCUCCAAUGUAAGAACUACUUUCAUGCAACCGUUAUUCUACCCUAUACAGAACAACUUCCAAGAUCUACCUCCAAUAGCAGGUUAUCCUACUGGUAUUGACUCUUUGGCCUUUAAUGUUCAUAACUGGUCCCAUUUAGCUGAGCUAGUAGCUGGAGAUGAAGACAAUCCUUGAAAUUUGAUGAGUAACAUCAGCACCCAGUCUCCACCGCAGUUUUAUAAGACACGUUGUUCACAUUCUUAAGACCAGAUGAGAUAUUGUACAAAGUGUCUAUAAGCCAAUACAGGGCCGGUUACAUACCACAUAAGGCAAAUACAUUUCUUGAAUUGAAUAGCCAAUGAAGCAUGUACACUUAAUAGAGCAAGAAAUAAAGACCUAGUAUAUUCUAGUUGCCAAGCUGAAUGUAUGCAGCUCAUGCAUAAAUUUUUUUGAAAUAGAAUAUAAAUGUUUUCAAAUUUCUACACUCAUUCAUCAGUAUUACCUCAAUAUUUUGCUUUAUAUGUUUGACUUGGGGGUAAAAAACUAUUCAUAACUUUGAAAUUUUGUAGCUCCAAUUAAAGUUUACCUAUCAAACUUAAGUUUAUAAGACUUGAAAAGUCAAAACUUAAAACAAUUAGAAUUAUUUUACAGGCUUUUGGUUUUUGAUAUUAUGAAGCAACUAAAAGAUAAAAAGAGAGAUAGUUAUACAGUUUAGUGUCAUAUGAAUGGAUCAGUGAUUUGUUCAAACCCAGGAAGGAGUGGUGAGCAUGAUUGCAGGUGUCAAAAAUAUUAAGCCAUAAAAGACAGUGUGAUAGGAUUUAACAUACCAGCAUUCGAUUCUUCCUGUGUAUGAUUCUCUUCAAUAUCCCUAGAAGGUUCUUUAAAUGAGAUACACAACCAUACCAAAUAAAAAAGCCAGGCAACAGCCAUAAUCCAACCAGGUAACGUGUUUUGAUUAAACGUCAACUUGUAGAUUUUAAAAUUUGUUUGAAGCAAGCCAGCAAGAGCAGGACCACAAGCCAUUCCUAGAGCACUGGCACUAACAAAACCUGCCGAUGCCUGCAUGCGGAUUUUUAGUGGUACACAAUCACUGAUAUAACGCCGGUUAACAGCUCUAGCUGAACCGAAUCUGCAACAAAAAAUUUAUAUCUCUGUCAACUUGUGAUGAGAAAAACAAAAGGAUUAUGUAUUUCAUAUGGAUUCCACAAGAAGAGAAACUUUUGGGUGAUACAUUUUAUUAAAAUAGAAAUGAGCUCUGAAUCAAUUUUAAAUCUCCAAUAGUGGCACAUCAACUCUGGUAGAUAAGAAAGUAAGCAAAUACAGAUUGAUCUGAGUAAAAUACACUAGAAAUGGUAUUGGAAGUUACUUGGAAUUUUCUGGGUAAAAUCCAUCAAGGAAUUACCCAAAUAGAAGAAAACAAAGAAGAAUACUUACCCACAGAAAAGACGGCCAAUUAAGAGAACUGCUAUGGAACUGAAAUCAUAUGCCAAUGCAUACAUGACAUUUCCGAUGAAAAGAACAAUGCUGCUGAAUACAAGAGGUUUGAAAUAUGAUCUGUUUGACCAAGCGCUAAAAUACACAGAAGAAAAGACCUGUGCUAUAGCCAUUGCCCCAAUAACAAUACCGCAGACUGUUGCAGCAGCUCCAAGGCUCAUGGAGUAGUCAUCUGCGGUAGGGACAAUAAUAUAUGUAUUCACCAUAUAAAGAAACGUGUUUGCUAAGUUCAAUAGAAGUGACAUAAAAUGGUAUUUCUGAUCAUCAAUAUGUUCCUCAACAGGACUGGGCAACUCUUCUUGCAUAAUCAGUGCAUGUUGUGCCAUAAAGUUGAGGAAGUUUGUAGAGUUGGAUAACCUGUCUACAGCUGCUUUUAUUGAAUCGACCACAGGAUCCUGCAUGGUAAAUUCACAAACUUUGGUACAUGAACAGAGUCAGGAAGAAACAGGAUCAUACAAAUUGGAUUAGAAAGAGAAACCUGGAGGGGAAGAGCAGGCUCAUCAUAUAUGGAUAAGUAGCUUCCUUGAUGAUCUUGAAGUUCGUGAAGAUUUCGAGAUAUAGCUCCCACAACAGCACCUAACCCCUGCAGAUCACAGAAUUGGAAGGUAAAACUUCACAAUGAACAAUAACUUUAUGGAGAAUAUGUAGACAUUAUUUUACACUAUAUUGCUAUAGCAUACCCUAAAACUCAUGACUUUACAGUUUCACUUAUAAUUUUCAAGAGUACAAUAAAAGUAUGCAGAAGCCUAAGUGUAUAAAUGACUAAAUUUAAAAAUUAAAAAAAGGGGGGGCUCUUGGAUUUUUGACACAUUACCACAUGCUUGAACACUUGCUGCAACUGGGAGUAAGGAUGAUUAGCACGAGUUUUGACAUAGUAAUCAGUGAAUCUAUAACCAAAACGUUUAUCAAAUUUCUUCAGAAUCUUACGCAGACCAAUUGCGUUUAUCUCAACAAAAAAGAGAAGCUUUAAAAGAUCCAUUCCUGCUGCUCUAUAGGCUUCUCGUAGUUCUGUCAUCUGGGAUAUAUCUGGCUGCUGUAGAAGAGCAUCAUGCUGUUCCCUAAGCCUGGCUAACCUGCUUGCAAGAAGACCUUGUUGUUCCAACAGGAAAAGAACAAUCUUCUCAAUCUGAAAAUAUAAAAACGAAGGGGUUCGUAUUAAGUUUUCCUUUUGUGGCGAAAGCACAAAAUAAUAAACUACAAAGGAAGCUCAUAAGAGUAUAACAUGUUUGUUGCUAAUGAAAGGGAUGAACCUACUCCUUACCAAUCAACCAAAAGUUUAGAUGUUUAUGAUUAUAUAACCAUUCGGCGAUUCGCAAGAGAUUUCUCAAAGAUGUAUUUAAAGUCAAUUUUGGCCAACCAUCCACCUUCUCUCUCAUGUCAUUCCCAAUUUAUAAUAUUCUUCUGUUAGCAAAUCCUACUGUCACUUUGCUAUGAGACACAGUUCUGUUAAGUAACAUCUGUGGAUUUUUUAAACAUAAGUUGGAGGGAAGGGUAGGCUAAAGGAAGGUAGAAGAAGGUGAGCAUCAAAAUCAAGAACCAGCUCCAAAGAAACCAUGGACAACCAAAGAACUUAUAAAGUGUGGUUGACAGCAUGACCUCUAAGGACACUUCAAUCUGCACCUAGUUAGACUCAAUGCAUGCAUAAUGUUCAACAUUGCUCGUCUAAAUUUAUUACAUAAUUUAUGAAAUAGCAUACAGAGGACUUCUAAUAUGCAUCUUCCAACAUACCUGAUUAUCCAGCAUUCUUGAGAAAUCCUUGAGAACAUGACGGCGAUCUUGAGCUCCGACUUCAAUUUGUUGAGCAUAUUGUUUUACUUUCUUCUUCAUUAAUUUGUAGUUAAUAUAAUAACUGAAAAAAAAACCAUUAUACGCAUGGUAAUAUGGCAACUGUGAUAGUAAAUAAAUAAAUAAAAAUUGUUGCACAUGAUAAAAUUUAUAGAUAUGCUGAAUGACUUUGCAAGGAGGAGUGAAAUAAACCCUCUUAAAAGACACUGAAUAGAAACUAUAGAUUUGUCAUGCUCUAUGCAUAUUAGCUAAACAUAUUAACUAAUACAUAUUAGCUGUCAUUGCAUACUUUUCGAUCAAAAGGCAGUUAAGAGUAUUAUGAAAGCAAAUGCUCGUCACCGAACAAUCCCUUGAACGGUUCAUUUCAGUGAAGAUAUCCUUGACGCCUACCAUAGUGCAGUCAAUACUAAGUAUUGCAGCAUAGAAGGCAGAACAGAACUUCAACCUUACCUUUGCCAUUCUUGAAUCUGUCUUUCCUUCAACUUUUUCCCAAAGGCAACCAUUUUUUCACUACAAAUAAGUGAUACAAAUUUAGGUCAGAGAAGAAACAAAGGCAGAAAAAAAAAAGUAUAAUAAAUAUUUUUGUGGUGUAAAAAAACAAGGACGGAGAAUUAUACUUUUCAUUCACUACCUUAAAAAUUGACUGAAUACCAACAAUAAUUAUGCAUACUAAACACUAGCACUCUGCAGAAUUAAGGGUGAGGAUAACAGCCAUAACUGCAAAGAAUUCAUAUAUUGGUCUUUCAUUUGGCUAAUAUCCUUUUCAUCUUACAUAGAUCUAUGAAAAAGCUAAAAAAAAUUAUGGUUGUCACAAUAAGUUGAGCAAAAUUGCCACGGGUCUUCUUCUGGUAAACCUCAUCUGAAACCAAUUAAUCACCUUAGAGUAGAUUAAAACAAAAAAAUCUUUUCAACGACUAGUUCAUGUUCCUCCAGUCCACAACAAUAAAACAGACACAUGCAAUCAACCUGUGCAGUGUUUCAAGUCACCCAACUACAGUAUCCUCCAGUUUUCUGGGCCAUUUCAGAACAAAGCAAACCAACCUUUAUACUAUAAUUAAGCUCUGAAUUGCCAUAGCUAACAUCAGCUAAAAUACUUUGUCAAAUUAAAAUUUAAAAUUUUUUACCAUACCUUAAAUAUUACAAUUCUCCGUACGAAAAGUCAACUUAUGCAUUCCAUAAAAUUCGUGCAAAGCAAUAGAACAUAUACAUAAUUUGAAGCACGUAUCAAUAGCUACUAUUUGAAUUUCUUAUAGCACUUAUAUUUUACCUAAUACCAGUAAUAUUUAAUAAUUCUACAAAGACACCGCGGAGUUGACCAAGUCAACUAAAUCAUUGAGGUAGCCAAUACUAUAAACUUAGAUUCAAAACUAAAAAUUAAACAAAAACUAACAAAUAAAAUCAAAAAUAAAAUUUAGUUACAAGUAGAAAAAAUCAUAAACAAUAAAACAGUAGUAGCAAAUUAAUCAGCUGCUCAGACUUCCAUUAACAUAACGUAUGUAAGGCAAAAGAAAAUAUUCGAAACUGCAGAAUUUUUUUUUUAAAAAAAAUUGAAAACAGAAUUAUUAGAUACAAAUGUUUCGCGCGAACCAAACAGAAAAUGAAUCCAAAAAGAAACGCAUUACCUGCUAUGAAUCAAAGUUUAGAUGACCAUCAACGAACACCUGAACAAACACAAAGCGGCGCAAAAGAAAAAACACGGCGAAAUUUCAAAAACGGUAAAAACAAGCACGGAAUGGUUUACAAAACGGAAAAAUCGUCUUCAGAGUUCCAUAGUUUUUCGGAAUCACAUAAGACAGAGAUUCGAAGAGAUUGACAGAUACCUUAAACAAAUCCAAUACGGAGCUGGACUUAUUAUCUCAAGAGCAAGGAUCUUGCAAUAAAUUUCGCAAUAACAAAAAGGAAUAAACAAAUGAAAAGAAAUUAGAGAAUGAAUGAAGAGUGUUUUAUUAUGCUUCGGCUUUGAUUGGUUAUUGCGAAUGAAUCUUUCCAAUUCAAUAAUUAGAGGAGGAAAAAUAAUAAUAAUAAUAAUGAGAGAAAAAGGAGAAUUCAGUUUGUUGGCUGUCACGAACUCGCUUUUGUAGUAAGCGUUUUCUUGUUACAGUGCAUUUUUUGGGGAAAAUAUAAUAAAGUUUGGGGGGUCCUUCUGUUACUAUUAUGAUCCUCGUGACUCGGCGGCAAGUGGGGUCAUCUUGUAAAUUUUCAACACCAUAACAAAUUGAUUUUGAGUUGGUUUGUUAACUUUGAAGUAUAAAAUCUAAUUGCAAGUUGCAACCAAAUGUCCAAAUACCAAUUGAAUUCUCUUCUAUUGAUUGACUAAUUACGACGUAAUUAACUGUACAAUUUUUUUAAUUUCUUUUAUUUAAUGGCACGCAUAUAUUUGAGGAAUUAUCAUAAUUAUCCACCUAAGAUUAUGUUAAUAGUUCGACUUGCCAUUUGUUGUUAUAUAAUACAUAAGAUUAAUUAAGCCAAGUUUAAAUUUUUUAACUUUUUUUCUCAUCUUGCCAGUUGGCCGUGACUGUAUUCAAAAUCCUUAAGAGUGAGGCCAUAAUUAUAUUUUCAUUAUCUUUCUUUUUUUUGUGGCCGUACAUUAAUUAUACAAUGAUUUCACAUGGCAAUAAACAAGGGAGGGCCGAAGUAUGGGUUCAUGCAGCUUUUUCAUUUUUAUUUUUUCUAUUCUCUUUUUGUAGGGACGGUGGAGAUUAUGAUUGAUGCAAUUACCUUGAAUAAAAAUAUUUAAUAUUUUUUAAUAAAAAUAAAGAUAAAUCACGGUUAGUAUAUAUAAUUCUUCAUUGUUAUAUAAACGCACGUGUCAUGUUUGUAUUAUUUUUCUUUUCUUUUCAAAGUUCAACGCAAAAUGACAAGACGUACCUAGCAGGCUAGAACAUUAGGGACAUAAAAUUUUGAAAAUUCCCUCAAAUUUAUUAAAAUAACAAAAUCUUCCCUGAAGAUUCCAAAAUAACACUUCUAUGACUGAUGGUUGGUGCUUACCCUUUCCACACAAAAGUAAAACGCUCAUCAUCACCUUUUCCUUUUGACGUGUGAUUUCAAGAUUCAAAUUAUAAUUGCUUUUAAAAACUGGCAAAUGCAAUGAUGAUUAAAAAAUACACUUGUAAAAGUCAAAUUAUAAUUGCCUUUAAAAACUCUCAAAUGCAAUGUUGAUUAAAAAAUACACUUGUAAAAGUGGGCAUGCACACAUGAAAGUCACUGAGAAUUGAAUACCGUUGAUCCCAACAGAAUCAAUAUUUAGGAAGAUUUUUAAGUGUAAAGUUACUAGUAUUGAACAAAAGAAACUGACGAUGCGGAAAUAUGAAAAGUUGAUAAACUAUAAACAAUCGAAGUUUACGAAUAAUUGAAUAUUGAGAUUUUAUUUUUUUUAAUACUAAUCUUAAAUAUUGUAAAUUUAUUAAAAUAAGUAAAUUUAAAAUAUUAUUUUUUUAAUAAAAUUCUCCUAGUCUAAAAAUGAAAAAAAAAAAUAAAUCUGAUAUAAAAAAAAAGAUAAAAAUCUUGAAAGUAAUAGAAAAAAUAAAAAAAAUCACUUAAAACUACAAAAUAAUCAAGCAAGAAAUGGAAUUUCUAACUCGAUCAUGAGGCAGAACGAUAAUAGUAGUUUUGGAUUUGGUUCGUCUUAUAAUAAGUUUUAUACACAAAAAACGAACAUAUGUAUCAUAUAAGUUAUGAAUUCAAAAAAGUACUCUACUAUCCUACAUUAGCGUCCUACUUCAAAAUCCUAUUUCCUUUUUUCAAUUAUUUGUAAUUAAUUAUUGUGUUUUAUAAUAGUCAUGCAAUUUACGUAAUGAAGAAUCAACUUGUGGUGGUAAACUCAUCAUUGAAUUUGAAUCGAGUGUUAAAUAACUUUUUGUAAUUUUUUAUCAUGCGGGUACUUAUAGUGAUAUAUAGUUAAGAAUUAAUUACAUGUUAUUUAUUAUCCAAUAACUACUAAUUAUAAUAUUUCAAAAAAGCUCGCCUACAUAGCUCAUUGAAGUAUUUAAUUCAAAGCUCUCCUUGUCAUUUAAUCCACGUGUAUUCAUUAUCAAGUACUUCUACAAAAAUUUGGAUAACAUAUUGUUUAAAGUUAAAACGUAGCACUUAAGAUCUUUAUCCUUUAAAAUAUAUUAAGCCAUAAUUUAAGUUUGGGGAACCCACCCUAUAUUAAAAUCAAUCUUGAAAUUCACUUAUUAUUAUUAUUAUAUAUAUUAGGUCAAUAGACGAUUUACUUUAAGAAAUUUACAAAAUAAUUUAAUUAGGUAUUGAGAUAACUUAUCAUAUAGGAUAUUGCUAAGUUAAAUCAUAUAAAACAUAUAUCAAAUCCAAAACUAGUUACCCAUGAUCUCCUACUUAUUUCACAUAGUACCAUUUUUGGGUGAGACUAUUUGAAUCCACCAAAUUUCUCUCUAUACUAAUUUUAAAAAAUAAAUUCAUUAUUAAAAAUUUAAAAUUUUAAAAUCUCAAAAAUACCUUUCACUAAUCACUUUCUCUCUCUAUCUUAUAAUUGCCUAUUCUUUUCUACUCUCACAUUUGGCAAACUAAACACUCAUCUUCACUUCCUUUUAAAUUUAUUUUUUUAGCCUUUCUUAAUAUAUCAAGAUCUAUAUUUCAUACUUUCAGUAUAUAAGUUUUUUUUCUUGAUAUUUAGUAGCUUUCAUGUUUGAUAAAAGUCAAUUUCUUAGAUGUUCAUCAACUUUUAUGACUCAUGAAAAUUUGUUAAUGUUCAUUUUCAAAUGAGGGGUUUUGUUUCUCUUAAUUACUGAUAACAAUUAUUUAUAGGUAAAAGAAUAUAUCUUAAUGAAUUGAAGAGAAUUUAUGAAAUUGAGAAGAGAAAGAGAAGAAAAAAUAAUUUUUUUAAAAAUUAUUUAGAUAAUAAAAUUUUUAAUAAAAAAGAGGAUGUAGAGAGAGAAUUGAUGGGUUUAAAUAGUUGAGUAAUAUUAUAUAUAACUAAAUAUAGCUGCCUGUUAUAUAAUGUGAUCGAAUAUGACGUAUGUAUUAUGAUGAUGAUGCAUCUUUGCACGAUAUUCAUUCAUCCUCCUCCUGAUAGCGAAAUCUAAUUGUGUUCCGUGUAUCCAACUAAUGGUUAAAUGGAACAAGAAGAUGGAUGGCCUCAUGGUAACAACAGCCGACAUACAUAACGACAGCUAAAUAUGUGUUUGUGUGCAAUUUGUCAACUAAAAAUGACAAUAAUGAUAAUAAUUAACAAUAAAGAAUAAAAGUGGAAGUAUAACAGCCGGCGAUAGCGGAGGAUAGAGAAAUGGGAAGAAAGAAGAGGCCAGCGCAACUGGAGCGUGAAACAGGAUUGAUUCUGUGCCUCUGGAUAAAGACAAAGGCUUGGGGUUAACGUUUGAUUUGUACCGAACGCUGCCACUGUACACGGACAACACUAUAACAAGUGUCACGCACCCAUAACAUUAUUAACUUAGACGCACUGUGCAGCCGUGGAUCGGAUCCUUAUCCAAACUUAACCCAUUUCUCUUUUGUUAUGCAUGUUUUCCUAUCCAUUCAAAGUUGUACAAGAUUGCAUUUACAAUUUUCUUUUUUAAUUAUAAUCAAUUAAGUGAUGAUUAUAAAUACAUCAAACAAAAAUACGAAAUUACUUUUCUUACUUGGGAUUCUAUUAAAAUUAAAAUUAAAAUUACGUUUAUUAUAAUCAAUCAAUAAUUUAUUUCUUACACUCUCAAAACACUUUGGAACAAAUAAUUUCUUUAACAUAAGCAGAUUUUAAAGAAUGAAAGUAUGUAACAACUAAUUCAUUGAUUUUACAGCUAGUUCUUUCAUGCAAUGCACGAAUAUAUGAUGACAUGUGACGCAGUGAUAAGGACUCAUGUGAAAGAAAUUACAAUUGUUUUUUUCUGUGCUUGUGGUUUUGUCAAAAAAACAGAUUGCGUUUACUAAUCGGUAAUUGAAAUAAUUUAGAAUUAGAAAUGAACUGAAAUCGGAAUGAGAAAUGAGAAUCAGAAUAAAUAGUUUGCUUCAGUUGUAGGAAUCAGAAUCGAAAUGAACUAUAUUGUCAUUGAUGUGUUUACUUUGUUUGGGAAUCAGAAUGUAUUACUGCAAGCUAUUAGAAUAACCUUAGCUGAUUAUCAUUAUUAUUUAAUAUAAUAAAUGUGGUUAUUAUUAUUCAAAAUAAUUAUUUUUAAUAACAAUAAUUAUUUAAUUGAGAAACAAAAGUAAAAUUACGAAAUUUAUAUGAGGUAAAAUAAAGAUUUCAAAAUUUUAAGGACUUGAUCCUAAAAAUAUGCAAGUCCCACACGUUUUAUUCUCAUAUUCACCUGUAUUUAACAAGUAAGAAUCAUCAAUUAUUCUCAUUGUAGAUUUCAAUUUCCCAAUCUAGAAAAUAAAUGGACCAUUAAUGUUACUACUCGAAAAAAAAAUAAAAAACAUCGAAGGGUGGUGAUAUUGCACUCACAUCCCAACUUUUUAAAAUUUUUGUAAUUACUAUAUUACCCUUAAGUAAUUCAAUUAUAGUUGUGUUGGACUAGCCCGCUCGCAAAAUCUUGAUUGCUCGUUAUAAUUUGUACGCCACCGCGAACCUGGAUUACAUUUGGCAUGCUUUCUUUCUUUCUAUUGUAUUUUUAUUUAUUUAUUUUUUCAAACUCCCAUUGUCUUAAUAACAACGUGAUAAACAAAAACAUCGAUAACUAAUUAUAGUCUAUAGAACAAAGAUAAAUAUCUAUCGAUUAUUUGAAGUUUUACGUUUUAUUAAAAACGUAUAAAUAUCUUUUUUGUAAUUAUCCUCAUGAAAUUCACAAAGUGUAGCAUAGGCCUUUAGCAAAAUCACAAUUCAAUCCCGACAUUAUUUUCAGCGAGAUUCUUCCAGGUUUUACUGGGAAACAAGCUUUGAUCAAUGCUAGAAGAUAUGUUGAUUCGAUUUUUUUUUCUCCNNNNNNNNNNNNNNNNNNNNNNNNNNNNNNNNNNNNNNNNNNNNNNNNNNNNNNNNNNNNNNNNNNNNNNNNNNNNNNNNNNNNNNNNNNNNNNNNNNNNNNNNNNNNNNNNNNNNNNNNNNNNNNNNNNNNNNNNNNNNNNNNNNNNNNNNNNNNNNNNNNNNNNNNNNNNNNNNNNNNNNNNNNNNNNNNNNNNNNNNNNNNNNNNNNNNNNNNNNNNNNNNNNNNNNNNNNNNNNNNNNNNNNNNNNNNNNNNNNNNNNNNNNNNNNNNNNNNNNNNNNNNNNNNNNNNNNNNNNNNNNNNNNNNNNNNNNNNNNNNNNNNNNGAGUAGCUAAUAUCCCUGCUGUACGGCCAAGGCGAAUGUACGGUACAGCAGGAAUUUUGGGGGUUUUCAAAAUUGAAGUGUGAAUAUAAAAUGGAACCAAAGAAAACCAUGAACAAUGGAAGGGAAAGUGUCUGGUGAAGUAAAUUUGAUGAGAAGAAGUAAGAAAUUAUAUGGUGAGAUUUUUUAUUUUAUUUUAUUUUGAUUUUAUGCUGGUAACGAAUGAUUUGAUACAAAAUUUGUGUAUUUUUUAAACCAUACAAAUUUAAUUAAAGAAGGAGUGGAGGGAUUUUUUAUUUUUUUUAACUUUUAUUAUUUUAUUGUACAAAGUCACAAAUGUCCGAGGGUCGAGAAAAGUGGAGCACUGAUAUACUUUGUAAAAUUCAGAUGGAUAAAUAAUUGUAAAAGUAAAAAAAAGAAUAUUUAUGUAUUUUUAAUAAAGUGUGGAACAUUAAAUGAUUGGUGAAUAUUUGUCAUAAAAAUAAAUGAGAAACCAGGUGCAAAAGAACUAUUUUUUUCAUGAUGAAUUGAUAAUAGCAGUUGGUUGCUCCCAUUUUUAGUUUUCUUUGGAUACUUAACGUCCAUUUAUAACAUGGAAAGAUACUUGCGGGGACCAAAUAUAAUGAAGAAGAUUGAUAAUAUUGAUAAUAAGCAGGGUUUAUUUACGAAAUAAUAUAAUUUUAACCAUUUUAUUGGGUGCAUUUUAUGGCUAAGAUGCUAUUAUACUAAAGAUGGGAUGGAAAUAUUACUACUCUUUGAUUGAAGCUAACAUAAAAUUUGAAUAUGUGAAUUUAGAAUUUGCCUACUCCUUAUCUUUAAAAAAAAAUUUAAUAUUAUGAAAGAAAAUAUGAAUUAAAUUUAAUAUAUCACUAAUAAAAUUGAGAGCAUCUACAAUUUAAACUGUUUUAUUCUAUUUGAAUAGGAAAAUUUAACCUUAUUAAAGAGAAGUCAACGAGCUCAUUGUCUACCGAAGGACCACGAAUAUUUGUUUGGACAUAUAAAAGUUAGAUACACGCAUGACGUGUUUAAUGAUAUUAAUAAGUGAUUGUGGCCAUAACAUAACAGGAGUGGCUGUCGCCACGAGACAGUUGUCCAUUAAUUAAUCUAACAUCGAAUAUAUAAGUACAAUUAAGAUAUUUUGAAGCUAAGCUUUCUGUAACUCUAUUGAUACGGAGCGGUUUUUCUACGACCGACGUUAUAGUCAGACCGCUUAAUUAUAGAUCACGUGAUACAACUAGCACUCCUUUUUAAAUUUAUUUGUUACUUUCUGUAAUCUCGCACGCUCAGACACACAGACACACACCUAAUAUUCCAUUCCCUCCCGACAAAAAUCUAAACGUUGUGCGGACCUGUCUAUGGUACAGAUUCUGUAACAAACAUCUCCCGUCAUCCCACCAUCCGAUUUUCUAUUGUUCAGUUUCUCACUCCACAUCCAACGGCUGAUGCUGCAGUCUGUAGCUUACAGAAUCUGUAAGCUAGUCAAGUCCACGUUGUGCUUGUUGUUGGCGGCCUUGCGACUCUCAUAGAUCUACAUAUUUUUGGACCUGUCUAUGGUACAGAUUCUGUAACAAACAUCUCCCGUCAUCCCACCAUCCGAUUUUCUAUUGUUCAGUUUCUCACUCCACAUCCAACGGCUGAUGCUGCAGUCUGUACCUUACAGAUUCUGUAAGCUAGUCGAGUCCCAUAUUUUUUCGAUACUUGCGAUAUAAAGACAUACAUGAGAUUACAUUUUUUAUUUUUUUAUAACACGUCGCUGUCAGACAUGAUUAAAGGAUUAAUUUGGUAAGAAAUUUUGGUUGAUUUUAACUCAUUCCUACUUUAGAUCGUAGAAGAAUACGUUCUGUCUCUGGGAAUUUAAUUACCGGAUGAGAUGAGACUGUCGUUUUCAAUAAUUAUUACCGCACAAAAAAAAGAAAAAGAAAAUACCAUCAGUUCUUUCAAUUCUAAUUAAAAUAACAUAUCAGAAGAUUAAUCAGACAAGAUAAUGAGAGUUGUUACAUUUGACGUGUUUGUGUAUACGCUCUUCUCCUGUCUUACGCAAAUUAAGCAGUCGUGACUGAAGACUACUCAAAACAACGCGAGCCAUAAUGAUUCUUGAUGUAAUCAAGUCGGAUUAUUUAUUCAACUCAGUACUAAUCGAGUGUUUGAUUCUUAAACACUACACAUCUGUAUAACAAUAUAAUAAAGCAAGCAUAUGUCUUUCUCAUACUUGAUUAUUAAAGUUCCUCUGCAAAGCUCCAUUAUUGCUCAGUCACACAUUCCAGGAUCACAAAUGACAUGUGGCUGUAAUUGGUGGUGGGGUGACUAGGGGGACUAGCACGUGAUUUAGACCCUACCUCAUGAAACCUAAUAGCCCACUUCCCACAACGUCCUCAACUGAUGGAUAGAUUCUCUUUUGAAAUUGGUUAUUGGACUGUGAUGAGGUAUUCGCGCUUUUAGUAAUUAGGACAGGCACAAAAGAACAAUGGAGAUAUGUGAUAAAGGUGAGGAGCACUUUUAAAAUAACUGCUUCCCAAGUCUUUUAUAUGAGAAGAAAUCCAAAGCUAAUGUUAAAAUGUGAUGAGGAUUGCAUCUGGGGAGUGGGGAUCACAUAAGAGGAUAUUCAUCUUUAUGUUUCAAGUUGGCAUUCGCAGAUCCGUCUGCUAGGCACAAGCUACCAUUAAAAUUUAAAACUUAAAAAAGUGCAUGCAUGAGCAAUGCACCUUUGGCCUUAGGAGAGUCCUUACUUACACUCAUAAUGUAAUUUCUGAAAUAUCUAUAAUAGUCCUGUAUAUCAGUAUUUUUUUAGAAAAAAAAAAAAAAAAAAAGUGCAUGCAUUUAUGCCGUGCGCUGUGUGUACAAAGCAUGACAUGCAAUGAUGGAAAGAAAAAGUAAAACAAGUUUUUGCACUGCUUUCCUUUUUAUGUUUCUUCUCUGCACGUUGCCUAAGUUUAGCUCCUUGACAAAACUACAAGAAGCUGACAAACACCCAAUUUUCCAUCUGAAGCAAAUUUUGCCUAACUGAAAAUACCUGAAACAUGAUGACAAGUAACUGCCACGAAAGCAUAUGCUCCAUAGUGCUACAUGAAGGAUUUCCAGAACAUGUAUCGAAAUCAUAACAAGGCUAAAUUCACCUGGCAUUAUGUUUAUAGACACUUGUGGGGUGGGAUGUGUAAACCAGCAGCAAUGGGGUUAGAUGCAGGAUUAGAUUUGGAAAGCAAAGCUACCGAGAUGGAUGAAGAGAGAAGGCUAUUAAUGAGAAUAACUGGAAAAUCUUUUUCCAUUGCGAUAUGAAUUUAUUGAUACAUCUUGAAUAUGAGAGUGCCCUUUACAGAGCUUUUCUUUGCUACUUCCACUAGCAUUUUUUUGCCUAACUUCCAAGGGAAAAAAGAUCCCAGUAGAAGUAGCAAAAAGAAGCAUGGGAAAGGUACACUCCUAUAUUUAAAGAAAUAACUACAGAAAAGAAAAGAAAGGGGGGGAAAAUGAAAUAAAAAAAUUGUUGUACAGAGUCAAAAAACAACAGGCUUACUGCUUAUGUAGCCUCUCCCUGUGACGCAUCUUUCGAGAAUUUACAGCUUUGGAAAGAUACAAAAUUUUGGAAACUAUAUAUCCUUCUUCGAUGGGGCAUUGCCACUGUCAGAGUAGCAAAAUUCAUCACAAAAUCUUGAGUCAGCCAUCCAGCAAAUCAGACUUGAUUAGAAUUGUCGAGGAGCACCAAUUUUAACACUUCAGACACAAGAACAUUGGAUAUUUACAUGUACAAUGAGAUGGAUCAUGCAGUACCAAGUCGUUUCCAUUUUGCCCGAUAGAUUUCUGCUUUCUCGGGGGCAAUGAUCUCAAGAGCACCAAUAACACACUUGUGAUAUGAGAAGUCCUCAAUUGAGCCAUCUUCUCUUACCAACGAAAAGCAACGUGAAUUCUGAUGUUCAGGGUGAUAGGUAACCUGAAAAAGAUGGGGGAAGAAAGUAUCAUGAUAUCUCCUGCCACUAUACGUACAAUAAUGCUAAACUACCAAAAGUAGUUUUUUUUUUAAAUGAUGCGAAAGAACAUGGCAUCAGACUUGUAUAAAAUGUAAAUGAUCAAUUUGUUGAGGUACUAAAAUUAGCCAUCCAACUGACAAGUCAGUUUGCGCCAAAUCCCCUUUCUAUCCUAUCCUACAAAACUGAGGAUCUAAGAGAAAUUCAUCAAUUAAAAUAGGAUUCCUUUGCACAUAUUAUAAAUAUUUUAACUCUAUUUUUAUUAGAUUUCUCCUUUAUGUUAAUUCCAUGUUAAUGAAAAGAUUGCGCCCCCCCACAACCCCCCCCCCNNNNNNNNNNNNNNNNNNNNNNNNNNNNNNNNNNNNNNNNNNNNNNNNNNNNNNNNNNNNNNNNNNNNNNNNNNNNNNNNNNNNNNNNNNNNNNNNNNNNNNNNNNNNNNNNNNNNNNNNNNNNNNNNNNNNNNNNNNNNNNNNNNNNNNNNNNNNNNNNNNNNNNNNNNNNNNNNNNNNNNNNNNNNNNNNNNNNNNNNNNNNNNNNNNNNNNNNNNNNNNNNNNNNNNNNNNNNNNNNNNNNNNNNNNNNNNNNNNNNNNNNNNNNNNNNNNNNNNNNNNNNNNNNNNNNNNNNNNNNNNNNNNNNNNNNNNNNNNNNNNNNNNNNNNNNNNNNNNNNNNNNNNNNNNNNNNNNNNNNNNNNNNNNNNNNNNNNNNNNNNNNNNNNNNNNNNNNNNNNNNNNNNNNNNNNNNNNNNNNNNNNNNNNNNNNNNNNNNNNNNNNNNNNNNNNNNNNNNNNNNNNNNNNNNNNNNNNNNNNNNNNNNNNNNNNNNNNNNNNNNNNNNNNNNNNNNNNNNNNNNNNNNNNNNNNNNNNNNNNNNNNNNNNNNNNNNNNNNNNNNNNNNNNNNNNNNNNNNNNNNNNNNNNNNNNNNNNNNNNNNNNNNNNNNNNNNNNNNNNNNNNNNNNNNNNNNNNNNNNNNNNNNNNNNNNNNNNNNNNNNNNNNNNNNNNNNNNNNNNNNNNNNNNNNNNNNNNNNNNNNNNNNNNNNNNNNNNNNNNNNNNNNNNNNNNNNNNNNNNNNNNNNNNNNNNNNNNNNNNNNNNNNNNNNNNNNNNNNNNNNNNNNNNNNNNNNNNNNNNNNNNNNNNNNNNNNNNNNNNNNNNNNNNNNNNNNNNNNNNNNNNNNNNNNNNNNNNNNNNNNNNNNNNNNNNNNNNNNNNNNNNNNNNNNNNNNNNNNNNNNNNNNNNNNNNNNNNNNNNNNNNNNNNNNNNNNNNNNNNNNNNNNNNNNNNNNNNNNNNNNNNNNNNNNNNNNNNNNNNNNNNNNNNNNNNNNNNNNNNNNNNCCCCCAAAAAAAAAAAAACCUUGACAUGUCAAAACACACACUAACCUCCCAAAGAUCCAUGUAACUUAUUGCUUCAUUUUAUCUGAAUGUGUAAGUGUUGGUUAAAACUGUAAUAUGCGGAAAAGAAUGGAAAAGAAUACUGGAAAAGUGCCAUAAAAAUUUAAGUCCUGAUAAGACUUUUUAUAUCGCCAAUCUACUACCAACAACUAUUUUCCUAUAAUUGAGUCAACAAAAUACAGGUUAACAGAAUAGGUCAAGUCAACCAAUCAGAACCAAUAGAGAUCUAAAAAAACUCUUUUAACCACAUACCUCUAUAUCUGGAGGCUCAAUUCCAAGCUUUUCAUUGCGUCGAGGAUGAAAAUAUAAAGCCCUUAUCACAGUUGUUUUGUCCUUUUCACUUAACCUCUGACCAAUUGAAUAUCUACAACAAAAGUAGCCACAGAAUUUUUUAGGAGAAAGAGAAAAGGCAAAAGAAACCUUUGCUCUCAUUUUUUUACCCAAAAAGGAAAAAAUCUUGUGAAUUCGAAGAACUAACGCAUCACACAAAGGGAUCAUGGAAUUAAACAAUAUGGUCAGUUAGAAAACCCCCAAAUAUGAAUACAUUUCUUAAAUCUGCAUUUUGAUAUGAAAUAUAAGCAUGUGGGUUACUCAAACAUUUCCUCAUUACCGUGCUCUACUUUGUUCACAGAAGAAAGGAUACUCUUAAUACGAGGGGGGGNNNNNNNNNNNNNNNNNNNNNNNNNNNNNNNNNNNNNNNNNNNNNNNNNNNNNNNNNNNNNNNNNNNNNNNNNNNNNNNNNNNNNNNNNNNNNNNNNNNNNNNNNNNNNNNNNNNNNNNNNNNNNNNNNNNNNNNNNNNNNNNNNNNNNNNNNNNNNNNNNNNNNNNNNNNNNNCCGGUAUUCUCGCAAAGUGCAUGUCAAAUCGGGGGGAAGCGGGGCACUGACUUUAAAUUCCACAAAGCAGAGCACACAGCUGGGAAGCCGCCAUGCCUUGAAUCACUUGAUAAAAAUCAUGUAGGAGAUAGAGAACACCAUUCUACCAAAAGUUAAUUUAAGUAACAUGUGCGAAGCUGUGCAAUUCAAGAUGCUCCAAUACAAGGCAUCAUUCCAAGGUGAAACUCCGAUAUGAUCAUUCACAAUUUCAGUAAGAUGUUACAGUUAAUUUACAAAAAUACAAAGGGAAUAACAAAAUCAUAUAUAAUCAAGUGUGAUAUGAAACUGUGUUAAUUAAACAUAAAUAAAUACCCCACUAAAGCCAUAGACAGAACAAGGAGGAAAUCAUUGGAGAAUGCUUACUUGUGUAAUAUUUUCUUUAAGGCAUUACUGAGCCGUAGGACAUCGUUAUAUGUCCAAGAUUUUCUCAAAACCCCUCUAGAUAUGGUCUCGAAAUCCAGGUUUCCCAGCCCUUUAAACGCAAAAUCACCAAACUUAGCACCGCAUUUGUCAGAUAUAAGGCCCUGAGCUUUGCAUACUUUAAGUUUUUCAUUCUGCUUAGAACUGACUGGGGUGCUCAGGAGGUUAUAUACAUCCACUGGCUUGGAAAGUGUGCGUCCCUGAUGAAUAAUUAUGGAACAGGAAAUUAGAACUUUUAAAUACAAUUUAUAGCCAAGUAAUAAAGUCAAAUGCUGCUCCCUCACAACUAAAAAAAGAAAAUAAACAGAUAAAUAAAUAGAUAAAAAUAUAAUCUGAAGAAGAAAGAGAAUAAAUGCAUGACAAAAAAAGUUGACCCAAAGCAUUAAUAAAAGAAAAAAAAACAAUUAAAUUUCGACAUUAAAUGGUAAAAAUUUGCACACUACUAAUACUGGUAAGAAAAAAUCAAAAUUUACCUCCCCAGAAUAUAUAAUAUCAAAGUGUCCGCCGGUGCCUACAGAAGGGACCUUUCCCCAUCCUAGUGCAUCUACACUCCCCUGAAGAUUAUCCACAGCUCCUGCCUUUGCAGCUUUAAUAAAGGAAGCACCAGGAUUCUGCAACAACAUCCGAAACUUGAGUAUGAACUACAGGCUCAACAAAAGCUUCUUUAAUAUCAAACCUCAAAGUUCUUCAAAGUAGGAAACAAGGCAGAGGAACUAACAGAAAAGAAUGCUUGCACAAAAGGUGACGAUACAGAAGAAUGUUUUCGUUGUAGAGCCAAGCCUUUUGCAUUUAAGCCAACAAACUCUCCUGUAGCUGACAGAGUAUUAGCAACAAUAAGCAAAUGUUCAGGAAGUAUGUUCUUGCCAGUGUCAGAUAUAGCGGACUCCAAAUUCUGCAUUUAUAAUUCCGUAUUAGCAGUUAAGUAUAAAUUUAUCACACAUGAACAAAAACCACAAAAGAAAAAAAAAAGGAAAAAGGAAAAUCACAGUCAAGAGAAACAUACAGUGAGAAAAAAUUGUAACCCAGCGUCAAUCCCAUAGGCCAAACAGAAACUGCGAAUAUUAUCUGGAUGACUGCGUGUCCAGUCAAUCAUAUCCAUUAUCUGGUGGCAGUCAUUCAUAAGUGCACUCCACAAACUUGUUAUAUGACAUUGCCCAGACAUAGAAACCCUCAGAUAGAGCUCACCGAAUGAAUCGUCAUGGGAUUUUGAUGCUUUUUGUUUAUCCUUCCAUAAAAUAUCCACCUUCUUAAUCUCCCGGAAUCCUAAUAAACAUGAAAAAAAAAAAAAACAAAGAAAAGAAGACUAAAUAUCCACAAGGUUAACAUAACAUAUAUGGAGUACCUAAAUGCAUUCUGGAUUUUCAAAACUUUUAGUUUUGAUAGUCCAUUUUGCAGAGAAAAAAAGAGCAGAACAUUUAUCAGGUUUCAAGAAUUAUCUGCAAGUUAAAAGAUUAAAAAAAUAGCGGAACUACAUGGGUUCGUAAUCACUAUUCAGAUAUAAGAAACUGCAUGUUUGCAAAACCACAUAACAAAACUAGCUCAGUAUACUCUUUUCAUGUUUGGUUUUGAAGCAUUUAAUCAUGUUUCUUCCCAUCUUUGACAUUCAGAAUUGUCAGAUUUCUAAUUUUCCAUUCCAGACAUGCUUGGAACAGAUUCAGUUCGUCCAAUUCAACAAGAUUUAAGAAUACAUUUAAGCAAAUCCAAGUCUUGAAUCAAAGCAAUAUCUACAAAGGCACAGACAAGACCGACAUUUGAAACUACAAAUGAGAAUCAGCAAACUAGAAUCAAAUAUC
rnacentral:lncRNA from 1 species